rnacentral:rRNA from 1 species
GAUGAACGCUAGCUACAGGCUUAACACAUGCAAGUCGAACGGUAACAGGAAGAAGCUUGCUUCUUUGCUGACGAGUGGCGGACGGGUGAGUAAUGUCUGGGAAACUGCCUGAUGGAGGGGGAUAACUACUGGAAACGGUAGCUAAUACCGCAUAACGUCGCAAGACCAAAGAGGGGGACCUUCGGGCCUCUUGCCAUCGGAUGUGCCCAGAUGGGAUUAGCUAGUAGGUGGGGUAACGGCUCACCUAGGCGACGAUCCCUAGCUGGUCUGAGAGGAUGACCAGCCACACUGGAACUGAGACACGGUCCAGACUCCUACGGGAGGCAGCAGUGGGGAAUAUUGCACAAUGGGCGCAAGCCUGAUGCAGCCAUGCCGCGUGUAUG